rnacentral:rRNA from 1 species
CAGCGCCACGAGUGGUAACCACGUUUAUUGGGCCUAAAGCGUCCGUAGCCGGUUUGAUAAAUCUUUUGUGAAAUUGUACAGCUUAACUGUACAGCGUGCAAGAGACACUGUCAAACUUGAGACCGGGAGGAGUCAGAAGUAUUCCAGAGGGAGCGGUAAAAUGUUAUAAUCUCUGGAGGACUACCUGUGGCGAAGGCGUCUGACCAGAACGGAUCUGACGGUGAGGGACGAAAGCCAGGGGAGCGAGCCGGAUUAGAUACCCGAGUAGUCC